GCGGAUGUAGCCAAGUGGAUCAGGGCAGU
rnacentral:tRNA from 4 species